rnacentral:rRNA from 1 species
UCGACGCGUGCUUUAACUUGCGAGUCCGGACGAGUCCUCCAUUUGAUUUUAUGCUUGCAUAAAUGAUUUUUGGAUUCGGGACGAGUGGCGAACUGGUGAGUAACACGUGGGUAACCUGCCCUGAAGUAGGGGAUAACAUUUGGAAACAGAUGCUAAUACCGUAUAAUUAGUUGGAACCACAUGGUUCCAACUUGAAAGAUGGCUCUGCUAUCACUUUAGGAUGGACCCGCGGCGUAUUAGCUAGUUGGUGAGAUAAAAGCUCACCAAGGCGAUGAUACGUAGCCGACCUGAGAGGGUAAUCGGCCACAUUGGGACUGAGACACGGCCCAGACUCCUACGGGAGGCAGCAGUAGGGAAUCUUCCACAAUGGACGAAAGUCUGAUGGAGCAACGCCGCGUGAGUGAAGAAGGGUUUCGGCUCGUAAAACUCUGUUGUUAAAGAAGAACAAGUGUAAGAGUAACUGUUUACGCUUUGACGGUAUUUAACCAGAAAGCCACGGCUAACUACGUGCCAGCAGCCGCGGUAAUACGUAGGUGGCAAAGCGUUGUCCGGAUUUAUUGGGCGUAAAGCGAGCGCAGGUGGUUCUUUAAGUCUGUUGUGAAAGCCCUCAGCUCAACUGAGGAAGUGCAGCGGAAACUAAAGGGACUUGAGUACAGAAAGAGGAUAGUGGAACUUCCAUGUGUAGCGGUGAAAUGCGUAGAUAUAUGGCAGACACCAGUGGGCGAAGGCGGCUAUCUGGUCUGUUACUGACCACUGGAGGGCCUCGAAAGCAUGGGGUUAGCCCGAACAGGAUUAGAUACCCUGGUAGUCCAUGCCGUAAACGAUGAAUACUAGGUGUUGGAGGGUUUCCGCCCUUCAGUGCCGCAGCUAACGCAUUAAGUAUUCCGCCUGGGGAGUACGACCGCAAGGUUGAAACUCAAAGGAAUUGACGGGGGCCCGCACAAGUGGUGGAGCAUGUGGUUUAAUUCGAUGCUACGCGAAGAACCUUACCAGGUCUUGACAUCUUCUGCCAACCUAAGAGAUUAGGCGUUCCCUUCGGGGACAGAAUGACAGGUGGUGCAUGGUUGUCGUCAGCUCGUGUCGUGAGAUGUUGGGUUAAGUCCCGCAACGAGCGCAACCCUUAUUAUUAGUUGCCAGCAUUAAGUUGGGCACUCUAGUGAGACUGCCGGUGAUAAACCGGAGGAAGGUGGGGAUGACGUCAAAUCAUCAUGCCCCUUAUGACCUGGGCUACACACGUGCUACAAUGGAUGGUACAACGAGUCGCGAAACCGCGAGGUCAAGCUAAUCUCUUAAAGCCAUUCUCAGUUCGGAUUGCAGGCUGCAACUCGCCUGCAUGAAGUUGGAAUCACUAGUAAUCGUGGAUCAGCAUGCCACGGUGAAUACGUUCCCGGGCCUUGUACACACCGCCCGUCACACCAUGAGAGUUGUAACACCCAAAGACGAUGGAGUAACUCGGAGCUAGUGUCAACUGAAG